AAUGAACGUUAGCGGCGCGCCUGAUGCAUGCAAGUCGAACGCCCGCGUUGUCCGCAAGGAUGACAAGGGAGUGGCAAACGGCUGAGUAACGCGUAAGUAACCUACCUCUAAGUGGGGAAUAACUUGCCGAAAGGCAGGCUAAUUCCGCAUGUGCUGAUGAGCGAAUGUUUUUCAGUAAAGCUUUCGGGCGCUUGGAGAGGGGCUUGCGUCUGAUUAGCUAGUUGGUGAGGUAACAGCCCACCAAGGCGAUGAUCAGUAGCUGGUCUGAGAGGACGACCAGCCAGACAGGGACUGAGACACGGCCCUGACUCCUACGGGAGGCAGCAGCAAGGAAUUUUGCGCAAUGGGCGAAAGCCUGACGCAGCGACGCCGCGUGGGGGAUGAAGACCUUCGGGUUGUAAACCCCUUUUCCCGAAGAAGAAUUAUGACGGUACUCGGGGAAUAAGUCUUGGCUAACUACGUGCCAGCCGCCGCGGUAACAC
rnacentral:rRNA from 1 species